rnacentral:ncRNA from 2 species
CAGAUAUCUCUCCAUUCGAAUAGAAAGAUAUAUAGCAGGGAAUCCCGGUCCUGAAGCCGGAGCUGCCCCGCAACGGUAGGUGGACACGACGCGUCGAGGCGUGUCCACGAGCCCGAACACCUGCUCCAGCCGGAAGCGUUCG